GUAGGGUGCGAGCGUUAAUCGGAAUUACUGGGCGUAAAGCGUGCGCAGGCGGUUUUGUAAGACAGAUGUGAAAUCCCCGGGCUUAACCUGGGAACUGCGUUUGUGACUGCAAGGCUAGAGUACGGCAGAGGGGGGUGGAAUUCCACGUGUAGCAGUGAAAUGCGUAGAGAUGUGGAGGAACACCGAUGGCGAAGGCAGCCCCCUGGGCCUGUACUGACGCUCAUGCACGAAAGCGUGGGGAGCAAAC
rnacentral:rRNA from 1 species